ACUCAAUAGAUACCCUGGUAGUCCACGCCGUAAACUAUGCUUGCUAGCUGUUAUCAGUAUCGACCCUGGUAGUAGCGAAGCUAACGCGUUAAGCAAGCCGCCUGUGGAGUACGAGCGCAAGCUUAAAACAUAAAGGAAUUGACGGGGACCCGCACAAGCGGUGGAGCGUGUUGUUUAAUUCGACGGUAAGCGAAGAACCUUACCCAGGCUUGACAUCCUGCCAAGUUUUCCGAAAGGAAAAUGUGCCUUCGGGCCGCAGUGACAGGUGAUGCAUGGCCGUCGUCAGCUCGUGUCGUGAGAUGUUUGGUUAAGUCCAUCAACGAGCGCAACCCUUAUAGUCAGUUGAAUUUUUCUGGCUAGACUGCCCCGGUAACGGGGAGGAAGGAGGGGACGAUGUCAGGUCAUUAUUUCCCUUACGUCUGGGGCUACAAACACGCUACAAUGGCCGGUACAAAGGGCAGCUAAGUCGUGAGACGGAGCAAAUCCCAUCAAAGCCGGUCUCAGUUCGGAUUGUAGGCUGAAACUCGCCUGCAUGGAG
rnacentral:rRNA from 1 species